UUUCGCUGUACAACUUAACUGGCUUCAAAUCAAGAUUUCAAAGUCAUGCACGAGUCUUUUUCACUGUACAACUUAACUGGACUUUGGACACGUCGACCGAGUGUUCAUAAUACGCUAUUGGAAGGACCUUGCUGCUAAAUGGAUUGUUGUUGAUUACCAAAGUAAUGUUCACCAUGUUACUUACAACAUGGAUAUUCACACUCCAAUGAUUACCCAAGGUUGGAACCAACUAAGAUCU